rnacentral:rRNA from 1 species
UAGGGAAUCUUCCGCAAUGGGCGAAAGCCUGACGGAGCAACGCCGCGUGAGUGAUGAAGGUCUUCGGAUCGUAAAACUCUGUUAUUAGGGAAGAACAAAUGUGUAAGUAACUAUGCACGUCUUGACGGUACCUAAUCAGAAAGCCACGGCUAACUACGUGCCAGCAGCCGCGGUAAUACGUAGGUGGCAAGCGUUAUCCGGAAUUAUUGGGCGUAAAGCGCGCGUAGGCGGUUUUUUAAGUCUGAUGUGAAAGCCCACGGCUCAACCGGGGGGGGGCAUUGGAAACUGGAAAACUUGAGUGCAGAAGAGGAAAGUGGAAUUCCCUGUGUAGCGGUGAAAUGCGCAGAGAUAAGGAGGAAAACCAGUGGCGAAAGCGAAUUUCUUGUCUGUAACUGACGCUGAUGUGCGAAAGCGGGGGGAUCAAACAGG